rnacentral:rRNA from 1 species
UACGUAGGGACCAAGCGUUGUUCGGAUUUACUGGGCGUAAAGGGUGCGUAGGCGGCGCAGUAAGUUGGGUGUGAAAUCCCUCGGCUUAACCGAGGAAUUGCGCCCAAAACUACUGUGCUCGAGGGAGAUAGAGGUGAGCGGAACUUAGGGUGGAGCGGUGAAAUGCGUUGAUAUCCUAAGGAACACCGGUGGCGAAAGCGGCUCACUGGAUCUCUUCUGACGCUGAGGCACGAAAGCUAGGGUAGCAAACGGG